rnacentral:rRNA from 1 species
UACGAAGGGUGCAAGCGUUGUUCGGAAUAACUGGGCGUAAAGGGUGCGUAGGCGGUUUCAUAUGUCUGUUGUGAAAGACCUGGGCUUAACCUAGGGAGAGCAAGAGAAACGGUGAGACUAGAGUAUGGAAGGGGAGAACGGAAUUGCGUGUGGAGAGGUGAAAUUCGUAGAGACACGCAGGAACACCGGUGGUGAAGACGGUUCUCUGGGACAUAACUGACGCUGAGGCACGAGAGCGUGGGGAGCAAACAGGAUUAGAAA